rnacentral:rRNA from 1 species
CAGUAGCCGCGGUAAUACGUAGGGGACGAGCGUUGUCCGAAGUUACUGGGCGUAAAGAGCGCGUAGGCUGGUCCUUAAGUCUGAUGUGAAAGCCCCCGGCUCAACCGGGGAGGGUCAUUGGAAACUGGGAAACUUGAGUGCAGAAGAGGAGAGUGGAAUUCCACGUGUAGCGGUGAAAUGCGUAGAGAUGUGGAGGAACACCAGUGGCGAAGGCGACUCUCUGGUCUGUAACUGACGCUGAGGAGCGAAAGCGUGGGGAGCGAACAGGAUUAGAUACCCCUGUAGUCCCUGUCUCUUAUAC